rnacentral:rRNA from 1 species
GGUAUCGCCGUUAGUCAUGUGCAAAUAUGGAUAGCUGUUUUAGCCGUCUUUAUUGACUGGUUUAUAAGAGUUAUCAGAUAUCACUUUGAUUAAAUUAGAGUGCUUAAAGCAAGUGUGUUACUUGGAUAUAAAUGCAUGGAAUGAUGGAAUAUGUUGUUAUUCUAUUUGUUGGUUUUUGAAUGGUAAAAUGAUUGAAAGGAACUGUUGGGGGCAUUCGUAUUGUUGUGAGAGAGGUGAAAUUCUUAGACCACAGCAAGACGAACUACUGCGAAAGCAUUUGCCAAGAAUGUUUUCAUUGAUCAAGAACGAAAGUUAGAGGUUCGAAGGCGAUCAGAUACCGCCCUAGUUCUAACCAUAAACUAUGCCAACUAGCAAUUUGCUUUGUAUUUUUUAUGACUAAGUGAGAGGCCACGGGAAACCUAAGUAGGGUUAUGGGGGAAGUAUGGUUGCAAAGCUGAAACUUAAAGGAAUUGACGGAAGGGCACCACCAGGAGUGGAGCCUGCUGCUUAAUUUGACUCAACACGGGAAAACUUACCUGGUCCUGACACUAGAAGGAUUGACAGAUUGAUAGCUCUUUCUUGAUUUGGUGGAUGGUGGUGCAUGGCCGUUCUUAGUUGGUGGAGUGAUUUGUCUGGUUAAUUCCGAUAACGAACGAGACUCUAGCCUAUUAAAUAAUACACGGAAUUUUAUCUUCCGCGGUAUUUCUUAGUGGGAUCAAGCG